CUACUGCGGCCAGCAGUGGAUGCACUCAAAUCGGAAGGAAACAGAAAAGACAAGUACGGCCCCUGGGCAAGCAUGACACGUGACUGUGUGAAGCCUUCCGUGUUUGU